UACAGAGGUGGCAAGCGUUGUUCGGAUUUACUGGGUGUAAAGGGUACGUAGGCGGUUCGGAAAGUUGGAUGUGAAAUCCUAUGGCUUAACCAUAGAACUGCAUCCAAAACUGCCGGGCUAGAGUGUGGGAGAGGAAGAUGGAAUUCCCGGUGUAAGGGUGAAAUCUGUAGAUAUCGGGAGGAACACCAGUGGCGUAGGCGAUCUUCUGGCCCAUUACUGACGCUCAGUGUACGAAAGCAAGGGGAGCGAACGGG
rnacentral:rRNA from 1 species